rnacentral:rRNA from 1 species
GACGGCGGAUGCAAGCGUUAUCCGGAAUUAUUGGGCGUAAAGCGUCCGUAGGUGGCGACUUAAGUCUGUUGUUAAAGCGUGCAGCUUAACUGCAUAAGGGCAAUGGAAACUGAGGCGCUAGAGUGCGGUAGGGGUAGAGGGAAUUCCCAGUGUAGCGGUGAAAUGCGUAGAUAUUGGGAAGAACACCAGUGGCGAAGGCGCUCUACUGGGCCGUAACUGACACUGAUGGACGAAAGCUAGGGGAGCGAAUGGG